rnacentral:rRNA from 1 species
UAUUAACUCUGGCGGCGUGCCUAAUACAUGCAAGUCGAGCGAACGGACGAGAAGCUUGCUUCUCUGAUGUUAGCGGCGGACGGGUGAGUAACACGUGGAUAACCUACCUAUAAGACUGGGAUAACUUCGGGAAACCGGAGCUAAUACCGGAUGAUAUUUUGAACCGCAUGGUUCAAAAGUGAAAGACGGUCUUGCUGUCACUUAUAGAUGGAUCCGCGCUGCAUUAGCUAGUUGGUAAGGUAACGGCUUACCAAGGCAACGAUGCAUAGCCGACCUGAGAGGGUGAUCGGCCACACUGGAACUGAGACACGGUCCAGACUCCUACGGGAGGCAGCAGUAGGGAAUCUUCCGCAAUGGGCGAAAGCCUGACGGAGCAACGCCGCGUGAGUGAUGAAGGUCUUCGGAUCGUAAAACUCUGUUAUUAGGGAAGAACAUAUGUGUAAGUAACUGUGCACAUCUUGACGGUACCUAAUCAGAAAGCCACGGCUAACUACGUG